rnacentral:tRNA from 1 species
AAUGUUUUAGGUUAACUAAACCAGUAGCCUUCAAAGCUUCAAUUGGGCUAAAAGUCCAAACAUUA